UACGAAGGGGGCGAGCGUUGUUCGGAAUUACUGGGCGUAAAGGGCGUGCAGGCGGUCUGUUAAGUCUAGGGUGAAAGCUCCCGGCUCAACUGGGAGAGGUCCUUGGAUACUGGCGGACUUGAGGGAGGCAGAGGAAAGUGGAAUUCCCGGUGUAGUGGUGAUAUGCGUAGAUAUCGGGAGGAACACCAGUGGCGAAGGCGGCUUUCUGGGCCUUACCUGACGCUGAGACGCGAAAGCGUGGGGAGCGAACCGG
rnacentral:rRNA from 1 species